rnacentral:tRNA from 2 species
GAGCCAUUAGCUCAGCUGGGAGAGCAUCUGCCUUACAAGCAGAGGGUCGGCGGUUCGAACCCGUCAUUCUCCACCA